UAUUUUAGAUUUUAAUAAGUAAAAGAUAUGAAAUAUAAUUUGGGUUCAAGGUAUAUUAUCAGUACAAAUCAAUUCAUGGUAUUAAAAGUCUCCAAAUUUUAGAAAGUUUCAAUGUAUAUAUUCAGAAAUGUAUUGAUAUUCCUGUGAUUGCACAUGUUAAUUAUAUGCAUUAAUACAUGUGUCAGUCUUUGAGUACUGUUGGUUUAUAUUGUAUUAAUUUACACUGUUGGUUUAUAUAAUUGUAUUAAUUUAUACGUCACAUUAAUCUGAACUACCGGUAGUGGAAUAGAACUCCCAACUAGCCAACUAGACUCCCAUCCUGAAAUGUUCAUUAAUUUUGCGAUUAAGGCCAAAAGAAUUAAAAUACUGGUUGUCAGACCAAGAAUGAAAAAUUUAAUGAGGCAGGCAGGUAUUUUAUGUUUUAUUGCAAAAUUUGCAAAGGGGAAUAAUUCAAUUUUCAUCAUUGAGUUAUGUGGCAAUAAAAUACAAUCAAUGCAGAUGCAUUGGAGCAAGUGCAGGAGUGCCUGAGAACCAUUUAUACAUAUAAUUUUUUGGCCUAUAGAUGUUAACUUAUAUAAUAUAAAGCAGUCCCAGAAUUUCAAGAUUGACAUUCCUCCUAACCCACCCUCCUUUUUCUGUACGUGUAUAUGCUUAUAAUUUACACAGAUUAUAUUAUUGUUAUUUUUUUUUUGUUAUUGUUUACGUAUUAAAAUAUUACAAUUAACUCGUAGCUUAAGAUAAUUAUUUUAUGUAUGUUUUAAAAAUUAGAAUCAGAUGUCAUUUUUAGCUCACCUGAACCAAAGGUUAACGUGAGCUUUUCUGAUCACCCGUCGUCCGUCCAACUUUUCACAUUUUUAACUUCUUGUCUAAAACCACUGGGCCAAAUUUAACCAAAAUAGAUGCUAAGCAUUCUUGUCUAAAUGGAAUUCUAAAUUGUUUAAAUAAAGGGCUAAACCCUUUUUAUAAGGGAGAUAAUUUUGAAAAACAAUGAGUAUAGGUUGUGUGUCUUUAAAAAUUUUCUUCUCAAGAACCACUGUACCAGAUAUGCCAAUAUUUACUAAAAAGCUUAUAUUUAUAGUGAAGAUUCUAAAUUAUAAAAAUCGUGACCCCCGGACUAAAACUGGAGCCCCAGACAGGGUUCAAAGUUUAACAUAGGAAUAUAAAGGGAAAGUGUUUAAAAAUAUUCUCAAGAACUACAAUGCUACAGUUUGUGAGGUUACUAUGCAAGCAUCCUUAAAUUGUGAAGAUUCUGAAUUGUGGACUAAUAUCAUGGUCCCAGAAGGGAUUCAAAUUCGACAUAGAAAUAUACGGGGAACAUGUUUGAAAAUCUUCUUCUCAAGAAAUACAGUGCAACAGUUUGUGAGAUUACUAUGGAAGCAUCCAUGGCUAUUGUAGAUUCUAAAUUGGUAAAAUUGUGAGACUAAUACUGGGGCUCCAAGAGGGGUUUAAAGUUAAACAGAAAUAUUUAUUGAGAACUGUUUAAAAAUCUUCAUCUCGAGCACUACAAUGCCAUACUUUGUGAGAUUUUUUUGCAAGGAUCCUCAAAUAGUGUAGAUUCUGAAUCUUUAAAGCCAACCAUAAACCCUGAACCAAUACUGGGGCCCAGUAAGGGGUUUAAAGUUUGAAAUAGAAAUAGCAUAUGCUAUGAAAUAGAAUGUUACAAGGUACUGUUGUUCAGAUGAGCGAUGUGGCCCAUGGGCCUCAUGCUGUUUUUUAAACAUACAUCUGUACUAUUGCACACUAUUCUAUUGCUUUAUGAGAAUGGUUGAAAUUGUUUAAGGUUUAGAUUUUCAUUUUAAUAUUUUGUACCUUAUUUCUAUAUUUUAAAAUAUAGUCAAGCAAGUAUACAAGCUAAAUUAUGUUUUAUUAAAAAAUUCAUGAUUUUUAAAUAAAAAUGAAAGAAAUUGGUGAU
rnacentral:misc_RNA from 1 species